CUGAAGGGCCAAAAUAUCUCAAAGGAACCAUAUCCCACCUGAUCUUUGAAGCUAAUCAGGAUCAGCCCUGGUUAGUACAUGGAUGGAGACCACCAAUGAAGAUCAGGUGCCUUAGGAU
rnacentral:rRNA from 1 species